rnacentral:rRNA from 1 species
GGUUCGAUUCCGGAGAGGGAGCCUGAGAAAUGGCUACCACAUCUAAGGAAGGCAGCAGGCGCGUAAAUUACCCAAUCCUAAUUCAGGGAGGUAGUGACAAGAAAUAACAACUCGGACCUCUUGUAGGUUACGAGAUUGCAAUGAGAACAAUUUAAACCACUUAUCGAGUAACAAUUGGAGGGCAAGUCUGGUGCCAGCAGCCGCGGUAAUUCCAGCUCCAAUAGCGUAUAUUAAAGUUGUUGCAGUUAAAAAGCUCGUAGUUGAAUUUCUGGCUGGCGCUGUGUUGGCUCUCUGAGUCGAUUCAGUGCUUAGUCAUCCGUAUGGGAAGCUAGCUCGACCUUCACUGGUCGGCUAGUGGAUCAUACACUUUACUUUGAAAAAAUUAGAGUGUUUCAGGCAGGCAAUUGCUUGGAUACUGCAGCAUGGAAUAAUGGAAUAGGACUUUGACCUAUUUAUUGGUUUCUCGAGGUCGAAGUAAUGAUUAAUAGGGACAGUUGGGGGCAUUCGUAUUUAAUUGUCAGAGGUGAAAUU